AAAACAUUUUUUGUGUUCUAGUUGAUAAUAUAUACACAGUCUGGCUGAAUAAUGUAUCACAUCUGGUGCAUUCAGACUUUAGGUUAUUUAUGCACGCACAGGAUUGGAAGAUAAUUGGUGGCUGUGGGUAGUUCACUAACCAGAAGGUCGGUGGUACGAUCCCCGGGUCCUCCAGUCCACAUGCCAAAGUGUCCUUGGGCAAGACACUGAACCCCUAAAUUGCCCCAGACAGCUCUACCAGCAGUGUGUUAUGGUGUGCUGUAUGAAUGUGUGUGUGAGUGGGUGAUUUUGACUUGUACUGCAUAUUGCUUUGAGCUGUCAAUAAGACUAGAAAAGCACGAAAUAAAUACAGUUCAUUUAUCAUAAUCCACUUACUAAGACAGUGUACAUGUAAGCUGGAGGUUGAUAUUAGUUUAGAGGCUCAGUAGUGUAUAGAGAUAUGACAGAUAAUCUUAUAUCAAACUGUGAGGUGAAAGAUAUUAGAAGAUAUCAUUAGAUAAUAGCAUUCUGUUUACUAUGUAUGCAUAUGUCACAAAGAAGUCAGAAAAUAAUGCAUUUUUCGAGAUAUGUCAGCCUCCAAUAGGACUAAAGAUACGACCUAAAACUUAAAAAGAUCAGUAAAUUAUUUAUGAUUAUAUGGUAGAAAUGACGUCAUCACUAUGAAAUUAGAAAAUGGCGUCACAGUGUAUUAAUGCAUUGACUUCUGCAAAUUAUAGAGAUAAAUACAUUAUAGAUUAAUAAUCAUUUGUCAACAUAUGCUAUAAAUGGUGUCAUGAUGAAACGGCAUUUUUUUCUAUAUAAAAAGUUAGUUGUACUGCAAAGCAGUUGGGUAGGCAUCUAACUGAUUAUGUAUGCAUCUUGGACACAAGUAAACAUGACAGCACAUGUUAAAUCUGUGUGGAAUGUUACAUCCACACAGACCCUGUGUGGAUGUAACAGCAAGGACCCUGGUCAACAGACAAAAUGACCACUGAGAAACAGACAACAAUAACUAAAUCAACAGCUCCUGGUGCCUCAUAUAUAAAAACAAAAACAAACAAAAGAAUGAACCAAACUCAGAAGAGCAGACACAAUGUAAGUGAGUGAAAAUACUGGGGAGCAAUCGCAGAGAGGUGGAUCUAAACUUCCUUAUCUGACAGGGCACAUGGACACAAAUUAUCUUUUUCACGACUUAUGGAAACUGCAUGUGGGAAAAUAAAACUGUUUGGGUUGCACUGUGCAGUCCACUCGUGUGAACAAUGAGUAACAAGUAAAUAAAUACACGUCAUGGACACACAUCCAUAAACAAAUGCAAGAAAUACAUGGUGAACAGCAAAGUUGUUGUUUUUUUUCUUAAAAAAAAAAAAGGUGUUUUAAAAAGAGUCGGUGUAUGUUCUCCUCAGUGACACUUCUUUAUUCGUGGUGAUGUUUCUCAUAGUCAAGAUGAUGAUGUGUUUUUUUUUCUUUCCGUCAUGUGACUAGAUUUGGUAGAUGAGGGGCUGGCUGGAUCAUCCUGAAAACUCAAUCGCCUUAUUUAGUAACCGUGAGUUUUUAUACGCAGCAACACAAUUACACUUCUGUGGAAAAGAAAGAUGUGAGAGGAGCGGGGUUUUAUUUGUUUGUUUGUCUGUUUGUUGUUGUGACUAGAUUUGGACUAGAUUUUGGUAGAUGAGUCUUAAAGGACACAUACAUGUCCUUUAAGACAUGUAUGUGUUCCAUACAUGUCUUAAAGGACACAGGCAGGAUAUUCCCCUAAAAUGUUGUAGGUCAGUCUCUGGAUAAUUAAAACUCAACAUAAACACCAAAACAAAUACAUGUCGUGAACAAAACGAAAGUAAGCCAAAAUGAAUCAAACAAAACACAAAUUGACCCUAGCAUACAGGAGUAUUUAAAUGGCUGUGUAAAAUCCCUUGAGGCGAUAUUGCAGAAAAACGGCCCAGUUACUGCAGGGUUGUGUGGAGUUAAGGAGAGGUACUUAGCUGGAGGGUAACUAAGCUUACCUCACCCCUACACUACGGUGGCCCUGAAGUGCAAAUCACAACGCCGAAAUAGAAACCACAACACCGAAAUAAAAAACAACGCCGAAAGAGAACACACAACGCCGACAGAUUAAACACUACGCCUAACGACAAAUCACAACGCCGAAAGAGUAAACACUACACCGAAAGAGUAAACACUACGCCAUCAACGUCUACCGGAAAGGGAGUGGUCUGUAUCACAUGGUUCUCGCCGAUUGGUCGGGUCUUUCCUGGUGAGGCUGUGUUUACGCCGGUGGAGCUAAUGCUCUCUGUAAAACGCGGCUUUUUAGCACAAAUAGUUGGCGGUCUUACUACUGUCGAUAAAAGCCCAGGGGCCGUAAUGCAGACUCAGAGCUAUAUCUGUUUUACGACCGGCGUCCUCCAAAGAAGAGGCGUAAGAUGCGACCCUGGUUGAAAUGGCUAAUGUUAUUAGCAGCAUUGCUAACAGGAGCAGAGGCAGCAACCACCGUUCAAGUUACUGGAGAGUGGAGACAGAUGGUGGACCUCUGGACAGACCAGACCUGCUGGUGCUGCACAUCCCCUUUGAUCCACAUCCGUGUUCACUCCGGACUUAGUGGGAGGACCCUGCACAACACAUGAUAAGAUGACCCAGUGUGAUCGGAUUUGCUACUCCAAGCUUCAAAACAUUGCAGAGGCUUUGCUUUACACUGGUAUUCACACCCUGGACUCUACUUGUUUACCCCAGAAAUUCUGUUUAUGGCCUUCAAAACUCACAUUUGCAUAGUCCGUGGGCCCUAUUGUUUAGACUAAGAUGCUAUUGAAAAGUAAAUGACCGCUAAUUGCACCUUUCAUGAGUGGUAUCAGCUUCUGAAUGCAAUGUGUUCUAGGGGAAUGGUUGUUGCAGUGUCCAGGGACAGGUGAUAAUGUUUGUCAAAUCUACAAAACAGUCUGGCGCUGUGGAGACGCCACAGCCAUCGUGGCUUGAUCCAGCUUUUGUAAAUAAAAACACAAAGACAAUAUUGAAAA